rnacentral:rRNA from 1 species
AUUGAACGCUGGCGGCAGGCCUAACACAUGCAAGUCGAACGGUAACAGGAAGAAGCUUGCUUCUUUGCUGACGAGGGGCGGACGGGUGAGUAAUGUCUGGGAAACUGCCUGAUGGAGGGGGAUAACUACUGGAAACGGUAGCUAAUACCGCAUAACGUCGCAAGACCAAAGAGGGGGACCUUCGGGCCUCUUGCCAUCGGAUGUGCCCAGAUGGGAUUAGCUAGUAGGUGGGGUAACGGCUCACCUAGGCGACGAUCCCUAGCUGGUCUGAGAGGAUGACCAGCCACACUGGAACUGAGACACGGUCCAGACUCCUACGGGAGGCAGCAGUGGGGAAUAUUGCACAAUGGGCGCAAGCCUGAUGCAGCCAUGCCGCGUGUAUGAAGAAGGCCUUCGGGUUGUAAGGUACUUUCAGCGGGGAGGAAGGGAGUAAAGUUAAUACCUUUGCUCAUUGACGUUACCCGCAGAAGAAGCACCGGCUAACUCCGUG